UCGGGAAUUUUGGGCAAUGGGCGAAAGCCUGACCCAGCAACGCCGCGUGAAGGAUGAAGUCUUUCGGGAUGUAAACUUCGUAAAAAUAGGAAGAAUAAAUGACGGUACUAUUUGUAAGGUCCGGCUAACUACGUGCCAGCAGCCGCGGUAAUACGUAGGGACCAAGCGUUGUUCGGAUUUACUGGGCGUAAAGGGCGCGUAGGCGGCGUGGUAAGUCACUUGUGAAAUCUCCGAGCUUAACUCGGAACGGUCAAGUGAUACUGCUGUGCUAGAGUACAGAAGGGGCAAUCGGAAUUCUUGGUGUAGCGGUGAAAUGCGUAGAUAUCAAGAGGAACACCUGAGGCGAAGGCGGGUUGCUGGGCUGAUACUGACGCUGAGGCGCGAAAGCUAGGGUAGCAAACGGGGAUUAGAUACCCUCGUAGUCCCUGAGCGGGCUGGCAAGGCGCAU
rnacentral:rRNA from 1 species